AUUGGGCGUAAAGCGAGCGCAGACGGUUAUUUAAGUCUGAAGUGAAAGCCCUCAGCUCAACUGAGGAAUGGCUUUGGAAACUGGAUGACUUGAGUGCAGUAGAGGAAAGUGGAACUCCAUGUGUAGCGGUGAAAUGCGUAGAUAUAUGGAAGAACACCAGUGGCGAAGGCGGCUUUCUGGACUGUAACUGACGUUGAGGCUCGAAAGUGUGGGUAGCAAACAGGAUUAGAUACCCUGGUAGUCCACACCGUAAACGAUGAGUGCUAGGUGUUUGAGGGUUUCCGCCCUUAAGUGCCGCAGCUAACGCAUUAAGCACUCCGCCUGGGGAGUACGACCGCAA
rnacentral:rRNA from 1 species